rnacentral:rRNA from 1 species
UACGUAGGGUGCGAGCGUUAAUCGGAAUUACUGGGCGUAAAGCGUGCGCAGGCGGUUCGUUAAGUCAGAUGUGAAAGCCCCGGGCUCAACCUGGGAACUGCAUUUGAAACUGGCGGGCUUGAGUGUGGCAGAGGGGGGUGGAAUUCCGCGUGUAGCAGUGAAAUGCGUAGAUAUCAGAAAGAACACCAGUGGCGAAGGCGAUCCUCUGGUCCAUUAUUGACGCUAAAGCACGAAAGCGUGGGGAGCAAACAGG